ensembl:misc_RNA Metazoa_SRP Metazoan signal recognition particle RNA
ACUGGGCAUGGUGCCACUUGCCAGUAAUCCUUGCUCCUAGGGGAGGCUGAGGCUGGUGGAUUGUUGGAGCUCUGGAAGUCUAAGCUGCAGUAGGGCUACAGCUGAUCAUAGGGUCUUACAGUUUGGCACCCAAAAGAUCCCUGGAGUGGGGAGCUACCAGAUUGCUUAAAGAAGGGUGAACCAGCCCAGGUUGGAAAUGGAGCAGAUUAAAGCUUCUGUGCUGAUGAGCAGUGAGGGUCAGGCCAUAAAUGGCUGCUGCAUUUUUGGUCUGGGCAAGAUGGGGAAAGUCAGUCUUCU